AAAUUGAAGAGUUUGAUCAUGGCUCAGAUUGAACGCUGGCGGCAGGCCUAACACAUGCAAGUCGAACGGUAACAGGAAGCAGCUUGCUGCUUUGCUGACGAGUGGCGGACGGGUGAGUAAUGUCUGGGAAACUGCCCGAUGGAGGGGGAUAACUACUGGAAACGGUAGCUAAUACCGCAUAACGUCGCAAGACCAAAGAGGGGGACCUUCGGGCCUCUUGCCAUCGGAUGUGCCCAGAUGGGAUUAGCUAGUAGGUGGGGUAACGGCUCACCUAGGCGACGAUCCCUAGCUGGUCUGAGAGGAUGACCAGCCACACUGGAACUGAGACACGGUCCAGACUCCUACGGGAGGCAGCAGUGGGGAAUAUUGCACAAUGGGCGCAAGCCUGAUGCAGCCAUGCCGCGUGUAUGAAGAAGGCCUUCGGGUUGUAAAGUACUUUCAGCGGGGAGGAAGGGAGUAAAGUUAAUACCUUUGCUCAUUGACGUUACCCGCAGAAGAAGCACCGGCUAACUCCGUGCCAGCAGCCGCGGUAAUACGGAGGGUGCAAGCGUUAAUCGGAAUUACUGGGCGUAAAGCGCACGCAGGCGGUUUGUUAAGUCAGAUGUGAAAUCCCCGGGCUCAACCUGGGAACUGCAUCUGAUACUGGCAAGCUUGAGUCUCGUAGAGGGGGGUAGAAUUCCAGGUGUAGCGGUGAAAUGCGUAGAGAUCUGGAGGAAUACCGGUGGCGAAGGCGGCCCCCUGGACGAAGACUGACGCUCAGGUGCGAAAGCGUGGGGAGCAAACAGGAUUAGAUACCCUGGUAGUCCACGCCGUAAACGAUGUCGACUUGGAGGUUGUGCCCUUGAGGCGUGGCUUCCGGAGCUAACGCGUUAAGUCGACCGCCUGGGGAGUACGGCCGCAAGGUUAAAACUCAAAUGAAUUGACGGGGGCCCGCACAAGCGGUGGAGCAUGUGGUUUAAUUCGAUGCAACGCGAAGAACCUUACCUGGUCUUGACAUCCACGGAAGUUUUCAGAGAUGAGAAUGUGCCUUCGGGAACCGUGAGACAGGUGCUGCAUGGCUGUCGUCAGCUCGUGUUGUGAAAUGUUGGGUUAAGUCCCGCAACGAGCGCAACCCUUAUCCUUUGUUGCCAGCGGUCCGGCCGGGAACUCAAAGGAGACUGCCAGUGAUAAACUGGAGGAAGGUGGGGAUGACGUCAAGUCAUCAUGGCCCUUACGACCAGGGCUACACACGUGCUACAAUGGCGCAUACAAAGAGAAGCGACCUCGCGAGAGCAAGCGGACCUCAUAAAGUGCGUCGUAGUCCGGAUUGGAGUCUGCAACUCGACUCCAUGAAGUCGGAAUCGCUAGUAAUCGUGGAUCAGAAUGCCACGGUGAAUACGUUCCCGGGCCUUGUACACACCGCCCGUCACACCAUGGGAGUGGGUUGCAAAAGAAGUAGGUAGCUUAACCUUCGGGAGGGCGCUUACCACUUUGUGAUUCAUGACUGGGGUGAAGUCGUAACAAGGUAACCGUAGGGGAACCUGCGGUUGGAUCACCUCCUUA
rnacentral:rRNA from 5 species